rnacentral:misc_RNA from 1 species
GAUGAAGAACGUAGCGAAAUGCGAUAAGUAAUGUGAAUUGCAGAAUUCAGUGAAUCAUCGAAUCUUUGAACGCACAUUGCGCCCCUUGGUAUUCCGGGGGGCAUGCCUGUUCGAGCGUCAUUAUAACCCCUCAAGCUCAGCUUGGUGUUGGGGCCUGCCGACUGGCAGCCCUUAAAAUCAGUGGCGGCGCCAUCUGGCUCUAAGCGUAGUAAUUUCUCUCGCUAUAGAGUCCCGGUGGAUGCUUGCCAGCAACCCCCAACUUUCUAUGGUUGACCUCGGAUCAGGUAGGGAUACCCGCUGAACUUAAGCAUAUCAAUAAGCGGAGA